GACGUAGGGCGCGAGCGUUUGUCCGGGAUUUACUUGGGCGUAAAGAGCUCCGUAGGCGGCUUGUCGCGUCGUUUCGUGAAAACUUGGGGCUCAACCCCAAGCUUGCGGUCGAUACGGGCAGGCUAGAGUUCGGUAGGGGAGACUGGAAUUCCUGGUGUAGCGGUGAAAUGCGCAGAAUAUCAGGAGGAACACCGGUGGCGAAGGCGGGGUCUCUGGGCCGAUACGUGACGCUGAGGAGCGAAAGCGUGGGGAGCGAACAGG
rnacentral:rRNA from 1 species